UCGAUCUCAAAUCAGGUAAGACUACCCGCUGAACUU
rnacentral:rRNA from 1 species